UAAGGAAUAUUGGUCAAUGGACGCAAGUCUGAACCAGCCAUGCCGUGUGAAGGAUGAAGGUCCUCUGGAUUGUAAACUUCUUUUAUAGGGGGCGAAAAAAGGGAAAUCUUUCUCACUUGACAGUACCCUAUGAAUAAGCACCGGCUAACUCCGUGCCAGCAGCCGCGGUAAUACGGAGGGUGCAAGCGUUAUCCGGAUUCACUGGGUUUAAAGGGUGCGUAGGCGGGCGUAUAAGUCAGUGGUGAAAUCCUGGAGCUUAACUCCAGGACUGCCAUUGAUACUAUAUGUCUUGAAUAUGGUGGAGGUAAGCGGAAUAUGUCAUGUAGCGGUGAAAUGCAUAGAUAUGACAUAGAACACCUAUUGCGAAGGCAGCUUACUACGCCUAUAUUGACGCUGAGGCACGAAAGCGGGGGGAUCAAACA
rnacentral:rRNA from 1 species